rnacentral:tRNA from 1 species
GGUAAAAUGGCUGAAUGUAAGGCGAUAAAUUGUAAAUUUAUAUAUGAAAUAAUUUUCUUUUACCAAA